GUUACAAGGGAUUUAUUUUCAGUUUUGGCAAAUCAAUGAAACACAAGUGUUUUAAGACGUAAGGAGUAUUCAGAAGUAUUGUUGCUUGGCUUCUCAGGAUUUAAUCAUUUCUCUCUUGUAUGAAUUAUUAUUUUUUGCAUUGUUGAAGAAGAGCAUGAUUCCUCUUGAUUCAUCCUUCCCAGAUAAGGAAGCAGAGAUCAUGAGUUUCAUGUUUUUUUGCAAGUAGAAAAAUAUUGGUAGCACCUUUCAAUUGUGGCUGGAGGUGGAAGAAUGUUGAGAGACAACGCAAUGGAGCAGUGAAGAAGAAGAAGAAGAAGAAGAGUCGUAGGCUGACCUUGCGACGGCGGCGGAUGGUGAGCAGGACAUUGCCGGUGUAAUCCAUGAGCACGGUCUCC